AAGUUUGAUUCGCUUAAUUUCCUGAAUAUAGGAAAACGGGGGACCCAUUAGGAUAAUAUGAGGCGUAUUCCGAAAGGAUAGAGCAACUCUUUCAGCUCGAGCCUGUCAGCUAACCUCGUAAGCGUUGAAAGGGAGUGAAC
rnacentral:sRNA from 2 species